UACGUAGGGUGCGAGCGUUAAUCGGAAUUACUGGGCGUAAAGCGUGCGUAGGUGGUUCGUUGUGUCUGUGGUGAAAGCCCCGGGCUUAACCUGGGAAUGGCCAUGGAAACUGGCGAGCUGGAGUGUGGCAGAGGGGGGUGGAAUUCCGCGUGUAGCAGUGAAAUGCGUAGAGAUGCGGAGGAACACCGAUGGCGAAGGCAGCCCCCUGGGCUAACACUGACGCUGAGACGCGAAAGCGUGGGGAGCAAACAGG
rnacentral:rRNA from 1 species